GAUGAACGCUGGCGGCGUGCCUAAUACAUGCAAGUCGAGCGAACAGACGAGGAGCUUGCUCCUCUGACGUUAGCGGCGGACGGGUGAGUAACACGUGGAUAACCUACCUACAAGACUGGGAUAACUUCGGGAAACCGGAGCUAAUACCGGAUAAUAUAUUGAACCGCAUGGUUCAAUAGUGAAAGACGGUUUUGCUGUCACUUAUAGAUGGAUCCGCGCCGCAUUAGCUAGUUGGUAAGGUAACGGCUUACCAAGGCGACGAUGCGUAGCCGACCUGAGAGGGUGAUCGGCCACACUGGAACUGAGACACGGUCCAGACUCCUACGGGAGGCAGCAGUAGGGAAUCUUCCGCAAUGGGCGAAGGCCUGACGGAGCAACGCCGCGUGAGUGAUGAAGGUCUUCGGAUCGUAAAACUCUGUUAUUAGGGAAGAACAAAUGUGUAAGUAACUAUGCACGUCUUGACGGUACCUAAUCAGAAAGCCACGGCUAACUACGUG
rnacentral:rRNA from 1 species